rnacentral:rRNA from 1 species
GAUAAACGCUGGCGGCGUGCCUAACACAUGCAAGUCGAACGUCCGUGCGGCAACGCACGGGAGUGGCGGACGGGUGAGUAACACGUGGGUGACCUAUCCCCAAGUGAGGAAUACCGGCGAGAAAUCGCCGACAACUCCGCAUACCCUCGAGGUAACUCGAGGAAAGUCUCGCAAGAGAUGCUUAGGGAGGGGCCUGCGCCCGAUUAGUUAGUUGGUGGGGUAAUGGCCUACCAAGGCUGCGAUCGGUAGCUGGUCUGAGAGGACGAUCAGCCACACUGGGAUUGAGAACGGCCCAGACUCCUACGGGGGGCAGCAGUGAGGAAUUUUCGUCAAUGGGGGCAACCCUGAACGAGCAACGCCGCGUGCAGGAAGAAGGUUUUCGGAUCGUAAACUGCUUUUCUUAGGGACGAGCAAGGACGGUACCUAAGGAAGAAGCCCCGGCUAACUACGUGCCAGCCGCCGCCGUAAC